UGCGUAGGUGGUCUUGUAAGUCAGAAGUGAAAGGCUACGGCUUAACCGUAGUAAGCUUUUAAAACUGCAGGACUUGAGUGCAGGAGAGGAAAGUGGAAUUCCUAGUGUAGCGGUGAAAUGCGUAGAUAUUAGGAGGAACACCAGUGGCGAAGGCGACUUUCUGGACUGUUACUGACACUGAGGCACGAAAGCGUGGGGAGCGAACA
rnacentral:rRNA from 1 species